rnacentral:misc_RNA from 1 species
GAAAUGCGAUAAGUAAUGUGAAUUGCAGAAUUCAGUGAAUCAUCGAAUCUUUGAACGCACAUUGCGCCCGCCAGUAUUCUGGCGGGCAUGCCUGUUCGAGCGUCAUUUCAACCAUCAAGCCCCCGGCUUGUGUUGGGGACCUGCGGCUGCCCGCAGGCCCUGAAAAACAGCGGCGGGCUCGCUGUCACACCGAGCGUAGUAGCAUACAUUCUCGCUCAGGGCGUGCUGCGGGUUCCGGCCGUUAAACGACCUUCAUAACCCAAGGUUGACCUCGGAUCAGGUAGGAAGACCCGCUGAACUUAAGC